rnacentral:rRNA from 1 species
AGGGAAACCGAGUCUUAAUUGGGCGUUAAGUUGCAGGGUAUAGACCCGAAACCCGGUGAUCUAGCCAUGGGCAGGUUGAAGGUUGGGUAACACUAACUGGAGGACCGAACCGACUAAUGUUGAAAAAUUAGCGGAUGACCUGUGGCUGGGGGUGAAAGGCCAAUCAAACCGGGAGAUAGCUGGUUCUCCCCGAAAGCUAUUUAGGUAGCGCCUCGUGAACUCAUCUCCGGGGGUAGAGCACUGUUUCGGCUAGGGGGCCAUCCCGGCUUACCAACCCGAUGCAAACUGCGAAUACCGGAGAAUGUUAUCACGGGAGACACACGGCGGGUGCUAACGUCCGUCGUGAAGAGGGAAACAACCCAGACCGCCAGCUAAGGUCCCAAAGUCAUGGUUAAGUGGGAAACGAUGUGGGAAGGCCCAGACAGCCAGGAUGUUGGCUUAGAAGCAGCCAUCAUUUAAAGAAAGCGUAAUAGCUCACUGGUCGAGUCGGCCUGCGCGGAAGAUGUAACGGGGCUAAACCAU